GUGGCGAUGGUGCGGGCGAAGUGAGGUCUGCCCGCGUUUCUGUUGCGGGAUAAGCGGUUUUGCCGUUGUUCGGGCUGAUGCCGCCGAG
rnacentral:tRNA from 1 species